UACGGAGGGUGCAAGCGUUAUCCGGAUUCACUGGGUUUAAAGGGUGCGUAGGUGGGCAGGUAAGUCAGUGGUGAAAUCUCUGGGCUUAACCCGGAAACUGCCGUUGAUACUAUCUGUCUUGAAUAUAGUGGAGGUGAGCGGAAUAUGUCAUGUGGCGGUGAAAUGCUUAGAUAUGACAUAGAACAUCGAUUGCGAAGGCAGCUCGCUACACUAUGAUUGACACUGAGGCACGAAAGCGUGGGGAUCAAACAGG
rnacentral:rRNA from 1 species